rnacentral:tRNA from 1 species
UGUAGUAGCUCAGUGGUAGAGCACUUGCCUAGUACAUGUAAGGCCCUGGGUUCAAUUCCCUGUACUGCAC